UACGUAGGGUGCGAGCGUUGUCCGGAAUUAUUGGGCGUAAAGAGCUUGUAGGCGGUUUGUCGCGUCUGCCGUGAAAAUCCGGGGCUCAACCCCGGACUUGCGGUGGGUACGGGCAGACUAGAGUGUGGUAGGGGAGACUGGAAUUCCUGGUGUAGCGGUGGAAUGCGUAGAUAUCAGGAGGAACACCGGUGGCGAAAGCGCUCGUCUGGCCCAAUACUGACGCUGAUGCGCGAAAGCUAGGGGAGCAAACGGG
rnacentral:rRNA from 1 species